rnacentral:rRNA from 1 species
AUUGAACGCUGGCGGCAGGCCUAACACAUGCAAGUCGAACGAGUGGCGGACGGGUGAGUAAUGUCUGGGAAACUGCCCGAUGGAGGGGGAUAACUACUGGAAACGGUAGCUAAUACCGCAUACCAUCAGAUGUGCCCAGAUGGGCUUAGCUAGUGGGUGGGGUAACGGCUCACCAAGGCGACGAUCCCUAGCUGGUCUGAGAGGAUGACCGGCCACACUGGAACUGGGGCACGGUCCAGACCCCUACGUGAGGCAGCAGGGGGGAAUAUUGCACAAUGGGCGCAAGCCUGAUGCAGCCAGGCCGCGUGUAUGAAGAAGGCCUUCGGGUUGUAAGGUACUUUCAGCUGGGGGGCGUUACCCGCAGAAGAAGCACCGGCUAACUCCGUGCCAGCAGCCGCGGUAAUAC